UUAAAAAUAAGCUAAAUGAAGCUUUUGGGUUCAUACCCCAAAUAUAAAGAUAAAUCUUUUUUUUAAA
rnacentral:tRNA from 1 species